rnacentral:lncRNA from 1 species
GCAGCCGGCUCGGGUCCCCUUCCACACCAUGGAAGCUUUGUUCUUUCGCUCUUUGCAAUAAAUCUUGCUAGUGUUCACUCUGGGUCCACACUGCCUUUAUGAGCUGUAACACUUACCGCGAAGGUCUGCAGCUUCACUCAGGAAGCCAGUGAGACCACGAGCCCCAGAAGAACGAACAACUCCAGACACACCGCUUUAAGAGCUGUAACACUCACCGGGAAGGUCUGCAGCUUCACUCCUGAGCCAGCGAGACCACGAACCAACCAGAAGGAAGAAACUCCGAAUACAUCUGAACAUCAGAAGGAACAAACUCCGGACACGCUGCCUUUAAGAACUGUAACACUCACCGCGAGGGUCCGUGGCUUCAUUCUUGAAGUCAGUGAGACCAAGAACCCACCAAUUCCGGACACAAUACUAGUACAUGAAAUGAUAGGCUUUUCAUGGACUUUGAAUAUGGGUCAUUUUAGCUUCCUCAAGUAACCUGUUCUAGCCUUUAAUCCUUAAUGUCAGAAAGUUAUUCUUUUACCUAACAAAAUUCAUUUGAUUUUUGACCAAUUUAACUUUCAUAGAUUAUAACAAAUUACUAUUUGACAGAGCAUUAGAACUCCAGUAACCAAGUUCUCUGAUUUUACAGAUAAAGAAACAAAGCUUCAGAGAGGUUAAGUGUAUUCCUGACCACAUAAAAGAAGGCAAAUUCAGACGUGUGAUUUGCAAAAGUUUUUUUUUAUUUCUAUGAGUUGUGUCUUCACUUUGUUAACUAUUUUAUUUGCUGUGCAGAAAUGUUUUAAUUCGAUGCAAUCCCAUUUGUUUUUGCUUUUGUUGCCUGUACUUUUGGAGUCAUAGCUGAAAAACGAUUACCUAUACCAAUAUUGUAUAGCUUUUCUCCUAUGUUUUCUGCUAGUAGUUUUGCAGCUUCGGGUCUUAUAUUUAAAUCUUUGAUGCAUCUUGAAUUGAUUUUUAUGUAUGGUGUGAGAAAGGAUCCAAUUUCAUUCUGCUGCGUAUAGAUAUCCUUUUCUCAACACCGCUUAUUGAAGAAGCUGUCCUUUCCCCAUUGUGUGUUCUUGGCACCUUUAUCAAAUAUUAUUUGACUAUAAUAUAAAUGUGUGGGUUUAUUUCUGGAUUUCUAAUGCUAUUCCCUUGGUCAACGUGUUUGUUUUUAUGCCAGGACCAUGAUUUUUUAUUACAAUAGCUUUUUAAUAUAUUUUGAAAUCAGUAAGUGUGAUGCCUCUGGCUUUGUUCUUUUUGUUCAAGAUUGUUUCAGUUAUUUGAGGUCUUUUAUGGCUCCAUAUAAAUUUAAUAAUUUGUUUUCUAUUCCUGUAAAAAAUGACAUUGGAAUUUUGGUAAGAAUUGCAUUGAAUCUACAAAUUGCUUCAGGUUGUAUGGACAUUUUAAAAAUAUUAAAUGUUUCAAUCCAUGAACAUA